UAGAGAAGGCUGGGCACACAGAAGAAGAAUAAACCUUCCUGUUAGAUGCUAACGGAAGCGCUUCGUGUGUCUCGUCUUUUCUAUAUCGCAGAAUGAGAGAGAGAGAGAGAGACACGACUACCUUGGAGCCCAGAGCCAUGAUGCGGAGCUUUGCAUGCCUGCUUACAUCUCUCCCUAUCCCCUCAACCAGCCAUGGCAGCUGUGUCUGUAAAGAAAAUGCCACAUGAGCCUGCAUUCUGAGAUGUAAAGACUUUUAGCUUUGAGCUGUUAGCUACGUCAAGGCCAGGGCCUAAUUGUUUCAGUCAGGCUUCUGAAAAGAUCACCUACUUUGGGAUUUUUUUUUUUGAGAGUUCAUUAUUUUAUUUUGUUGAGUGUACUCUUGAUCCAAAUCACAAUGUUCCAAAUGAGAGCAGCGUGAGGAUCCAUGCCAUUUUACCAUUCGAAACCAAUUUCUUCAAGUGUUGGACAAGCGAAGCACCACUCCUGCUUGUAUGUCUUCAGCCAUGCCGUCUUAUCAACGGCUUAAUUUCAAAGGGGGGGAGCAAUUAAAAUUGUAAUAACUCAUUUUAUUAAAAGAUGAUUGAAUCUC